AGUGGAUGGGGAGCAACCUAGUUGUGCGUGUGUAAAGGUAGUGCCAAGAAAAGCGAUGAUCAUGUUGAAAAUCAAUUCCCGGUACCCGAAACCGACACAGGUGGGCAAGUAGAGAAUACUAAGGGGCGCGAGGUAACUCUCUCCAAGGAACUCGGCAAAAUGACCCCGUAACUUAGGGAGAAGGGGUGCCACCGAGAGGUGGUCGCAGUGAAGAGGCCCAGGCGACUGUUUAGCAAAAACAUAGGUCUCUGCAAACUCGAAAGAGGAGGUAUAGGGGCUGACGCCUGCCCAGUGCCGGAAGGUUAAAGAAGUUGGUCAGUUUUAGGAUGAAGCUAGCGACUGAAGCCCCGGUGAACGGCGGCCGUAACUAUAACGGUCCUAAGGUAGCGAAAUUCCUUGUCGGGUAAGUUCCGACCCGCACGAAAGGCGUAACGAUCUGGGCGCUGUCUCGGAGAGAGGCUCGGCGAAAUAGGAUUGUCUGUGAAGAUACGGACUACCUGCAUUUGGACAGAAAGACCCUAUGAAGCUUUACUAUAGCUUGGAAUUGUGUUCGGGCUUCCUGUGCGCAGGAUAGGUGGGAGGCGUAGAAGGUAUUCUUGUGGGGAUACUGGAGCCAACGGUGAGAUACCACUCUCAGGAGGCUAGAAUUCUAACUUAAUUAAGGACAGUUUCAGGUGGGUAGUUUGACUGGGGCGGUCGCCUCCAAAAAGGUAACGGAGGCGUACAAAGGUUCCCUCAGACUGGUUGGAAAUCAGUCGAAGAGUGCAAAGGCAGAAGGGAGCUUGACUGCGAGAAGUACAGUUCGAGCAGGGUGGAAACACGGUCUUAGUGAUCCGACGGUGCUGUGUUGAAGGGCCGUCGCUCAACGGAUAAAAGUUACUCUAGGAUAACAGGCUGAUCUCCCCCAAGAGUUCACAUCGACGGGGAGGUUUGGCACCUCGAUGUCGGCUCAUCGCAACCUGGGGCGGAAGUACGUCCCAAGGGUUGGGCUGUUCGCCCAUUAAAGCGGUACGUGAGCUGGGUUCAGAACGUCGUGAGACAGUUCGGUCCAUAUCCGAUGUAGGCGUGAGAAUAUUGAGAGGAGCCUUCCUUAGUACGGGAGGACCGGGAAGGACGCACCGCUGGUGUACCUGUUAUGAUGCCAAUUGUAAACGCAGGGUAGCCAAGUGCGGAGAGGAUAACCGCUGAAAGCAUCUAAGUGGGAAGCCCACCUCAAGAUGAGUAUUCUGGUGUAAGGUCACGGGAAGACGACCCGUAAAUAGGCACGAGGUGGAAGUGCAGAGAUGUAUGAAGCCGAAGUGUACUAAUAGACCGUCGGCUU
rnacentral:rRNA from 1 species